CAAGGCGACCCUCGAUGGUAUCCACAGCCAGAGGACUGCUGGAUACGCUUUGCGGGAGGCCAGAGAACCGAGACUGCCAAGAGCCUUUGUUCCUGGACUCCGGGGGUGGAACGGGAGAAGGAGGGGAUGUGCAUGAAUGGAAAAGGGUUACACCGGUAAAAUCUUGUUAGGGCAUAGAGGAUGUUUUAUUUUUUACUGAUAUUAUGUUUUAAUGUUUAACUUUUCAGUUAUGUCCACUAGACUCAUAUUAAUAUGACUGGCCUAUGGCAGUUGCCACAGGAUUUUGUCUUAGGGGAUGUGUUUAAUGUAUGAUUACACUUUGCCUGAGGAAAUGUUACCACUGAAACUAGUUUCAAGUGGUUAGAUUCUAAAUGUUGUUGGAGGAGGGAACUGAUGACUGGUGAAUUUUGUGUCUUUUCCUUGUGUGCUGGCUGUGCGGAUUUAAGGCUUCUGCCAAGGAAAGAUGGGUGAGACGAAUGGAGAUAAGUCUGACCAUAGAAAAGGAGACCACUUCUGAAGAGUUAAAGAAACUUGGACCGCAGGACACUAAGUGCCUUGCCCAGAGAAGUUGGGUUCCGUAGAAGGACAAGUUAUGGAGGGAAUGCACACACAAUAGGUGGUAGGACGAAAUGGUCUCCAUCUCUGAGGCUGUGGCUCUAAUUGAGCAUACUUAUAACCUAAAAUGACUUCUGGUGAAGCAAG